AACAUAGCUCAGUCGGUAGAGCAACAGAUUCGUAACCUGUAGGUCGGCGGUUCGAUUCCGCCUGUUG
rnacentral:tRNA from 2 species